GGCCUCACCAGUGCAGAGUAGAGGGGCAGGAUCACCUCCCUCAACCUGCUGGCCACGCUUCUUUUGAUGCAGCCCAAGAU
rnacentral:miRNA from 7 species